ACACUUCCUCAGGUAACACCUCCUCCCUCCCGUGAAACCUUCCCUCAUGAAAAUAACAAGAGAAAAGGAAAUAAACUUCCACCCCUCUCUCCCACGCUACCUCUCUUCCGCCGCCGCCACCUCCCAUCCAAGAUCCUCUGGCUCUGUCGUGCAUUCCACCGGAGGAAGGGCCCCUUCCGAGACCCGCUUCUCCGCUGAGUCAGUUCGUGUGGGAGCCGUUGUCGUCCUCUCCCCUCAGUGCGCGGCGCCAGAGAGAGCGACAAGGAGGUCCAGCAGUCCAUGCCGCCAUCGUCCUACCUCGUUGUGUGGCGUCGAAGAGAAGGACGAGGAGGUUGAGCAGUCCGUGCUGUCUUCGCCAUCGCCUGAUCUGGUUAAAGUUGGAGCCACAAACUGGUGGAACCUCCCCCAGCUCCCCGCCCUCGCCCACAAGGACAAAGACUAGGUCAUGCUGCCCCCACCCCAUGAUGCCGUCUGUGUUGAUCUGAAGCCCGGAGUGGACGGGGAUGAGGUGGGAGUGGAGAUGCAAGUCGUCAGUAGACGGGAGGCGAUGCCGUUGGUACCGGUCAUACAGGUGUUGGGGUCGAUGGAGAGCACCGGCGGAGGGUGCCAUUUUCCUCGCGUGACUCAUCAGAUCUGACCUUACGCCGGCGCCGGCUGUUGACGGAGCCGUCACACUGCGGCCCGGUGCACCCAUGGCCUGUGAAAAUCAUCAAUCAUCAUGUUCGAUGUCACCUCCCAGCUAAACUACAAGAACGUUCCCACAUGGCACAGAGACAUCUGCAGGCAUUCUUAUCUGGCAGACCAGGCAGGUGGCGACAACCUUUUGGAUGAACAGAGGCAUGAUCUUUACAAUGAAGCACAAAGUUUGUCAGACAUUCUUGAUAAAGAGUCGAUAUAUCUAACUAUCCAAGCUACCAUUGAUGAAGCACAAGAUGCUGAAAAUGUGGAAAAUCAUAUUUCACUGGCUAAAAUGUUAGAAGUGAACCAGGAAGUUAGUACCGCCAAAAGUAAGAGUGUGCGCCGACAUCAAGAAGGCGGAUAUUAUUUUCGGUAAAACAUGACCCUUUGAUUGAUUUGGGUUCAUUACUCAACUUUGUACUGCUUCUCAUAUGACUGCCACCUCCAUAUAAAUCUCAUUUGGAUUCAGUUCUGUAUUAUUGCAGCUACCAGAACGAUUCAAGCUCUAUUUGGAUUUAGUCCAUCUGUGCUUUUGAUUAUGUUUUUGUAUUCUUAAUUUUAUUUGUCGCUUCAUGUAUAUAUGUGUUAUGAAUAUUCACCUAGAGCUUGAUAAUCUACAAGAGGAGGUUUAUACUUGUUUCUCAAGUAUUUUCACUAAACUACUGAUUACUCUCGGCAUCACUGUCUAACACAGUUUGUAAUGAUAUUGUUGUGUUCUACAAUAUCAUAUUUCUUUAUCUCCUGCCUUCACCUCUUUACUACUUUCCUUAAUCAAUGUUUGUUUCCUUUUGUACUGAUUACUUUCAGCAUGCCUGUCUGACAUGGCUUCCAAUGUCAAUGGUAUUAUAAAUAGAAUCAUUUGUGUUUUCUCAAUUUUAGAAGCUGCUUUAACCAUCUGCUAUGUUUUCGAACUUCCACUUGUCUGGUUUUGAAAAAUGAUCUUUAACUUAGCUGUAUAACUUCAUGUCUACUUUCUCCCCUACGUUUACAGCUUAGCUAUGUUGUUCUAUAACUGAAAUAUCUAUUUCCAAACAAACAGUGAUAUUUAUGGCUGUUGCAUAUGCUACUUUAACUUUUUUUCUCACCUAGAUCGAACUGAAUGCAGGAACACCUGGCGGAAUCCAGUACUUUGGAGAGCGCGAAGAUCACUGUUACUUGGGUAAUGAAGUUAAGCUCUAUGAACACCAUGUAGAUGCUCUCUUUGCUAUGCUUUGGCACAAAAAGGCAGACAUCAACUACUACGUGUGCACCAUCAAUAAAAUAUUUGCCAAGCCAGGCCAGCGCAUGUAUUUCCAGGUCCACUAUAUGGAAGAGAACCUGCUGGAGUACAUUGAUCUACAUGAUGAUACACUCAUCGCCAGGCUCAUAGAUGGCAUCUACUCGCCGAAUGUCGCAUUAUGCUAGGAACUGACAAGAGGGCCACUACCACCACCAACUGGUCUGAGUUUUGUCGCCGUGCCAACAUUCGCGAAGGAGACAUCUGCGAUUUUCAUUUCAAGGUUACUGCAAAGUGUCGCCUUGCUCUCACUGUUUACUGCCUCUAGAUGGACCAUCAACGACAACGCAAGUCGUCUCUGAAUAUAAUCUAGCACUCUUAAGUACAACUAAUUAUGCUCUAUGAUGUGAUGAACCUACAGUCUACUUUUGGACACUGCUAUCAGGUACUUUUGAAGAUCCAACACCUAUGUCGUUGCCUAUGUAAACUCUGCUGUUGUCACUUUCCAUAAUGACACUCUUGUGUACAACUAUUUAUUUCUAUUGCUAUUCUCUUCAAA